rnacentral:rRNA from 1 species
UACUGCAAGUCGAGCGGACAGAUGGGAGCUUGCUCCCUGAUGUUAGCGGCGGACGGGUGAGUAACACGUGGGUAACCUGCCUGUAAGACUGGGAUAACUCCGGGAAACCGGGGCUAAUACCGGAUGCUUGUUUGAACCGCAUGGUUCAAACAUAAAAGGUGGCUUCGGCUACCACUUACAGAUGGACCCGCGGCGCAUUAGCUAGUUGGUGAGGUAACGGCUCACCAAGGCAACGAUGCGUAGCCGACCUGAGAGGGUGAUCGGCCACACUGGGACUGAGACACGGCCCAGACUCCUACGGGAGGCAGCAGUAGGGAAUCUUCCGCAAUGGACGAAAGUCUGACGGAGCAACGCCGCGUGAGUGAUGAAGGUUUUCGGAUCGUAAAGCUCUGUUGUUAGGGAAGAACAAGUACCGUUCGAAUAGGGCGGUACCUUGACGGUACCUAACCAGAAAGCCACGGCUAACUACGUGCCAGCAGCCGCGGUAAUACGUAGGUGGCAAGCGUUGUCCGGAAUUAUUGGGCGUAAAGGGCUCGCAGGCGGUUUCUUAAGUCUGAUGUGAAAGCCCCCGGCUCAACCGGGGAGGGUCAUUGGAAACUGGGGAACUUGAGUGCAGAAGAGGAGAGUGGAAUUCCACGUGUAGCGGUGAAAUGCGUAGAGAUGUGGAGGAACACCAGUGGCGAAGGCGACUCUCUGGUCUGUAACUGACGCUGAGGAGCGAAAGCGUGGGGAGCGAACAGGAUUAGAUACCCUGGUAGUCCACGCCGUAAACGAUGAGUGCUAAGUGUUAAGGGGGUUUCCGCCCCUUAGUGCUGCAGCUAACGCAUUAAGCACUCCGCCUGGGGGAGUACGGUCGCAAGACUGAAACUCAAA